rnacentral:rRNA from 1 species
UACAGAGGGGGCAAGCGUUGUUCGGAAUUACUGGGCGUAAAGGGCGCGUAGGCGGCCAGCACAAGUCAGCUGUGAAAUCUCCGAGCUUAACUCGGAAAGAUCAACUGAUACUGUGCGGCUAGAGUGCGGAAGGGGCAACUGGAAUUCUUGGUGUAGCGGUGAAAUGCGUAGAUAUCAAGAGGAACACCUGCGGCGAAGGCGGGUUGCUGGGCCGACACUGACGCUGAGGCGCGAAAGCCAGGGGAGCGAACGGG